rnacentral:lncRNA from 1 species
AUCAACAACGGGAGAUUAAUCAAGUAGACGAAGUGGACCCAAACAACUUUUCACAUUGGAAACAAUACACGAACAGCCAUUACUACACAGAGAAUGACUUCAAAGUGGAAAAUAAGAAGGAAAAAGGUCUGUCACUUGUUCACUGUAAUUGUCGCAGUAUGUAUGCAAAUUUUGAAGACAUUAAGGAUUACAUCUCUACUUUGUAUAGGUUUGACAUAAUAGCACUAUCAGAAACUUGGAUGAAUGAAAAAAAAGGCAUGGAUUUUAUGAUAAAAGGAUAUAAAUUUGUCUAUAAGAACAGAUUACAUAAGCCAGGAGGAGGGGUAGCACUAUCCAUAAAAGAAAAUAUAGAUAUGGAGAUUAUAGAGUCUUUGAGUUUAACUGUGGAAGAAGUAAUGGAAUGUAUAACAGUGAAAAUUACAAGUCCAGAGGGACGUAAGAUAAUAAUCUGCUGUUUGUAUCGUGCACCUGACUGUAAAAUAGACAUAUUUAAUGAGAAACUAACCAAAAUGAUAGAAGAAAUCAAAAAUAAGAGAUUACUGAUAUGUGGAGACUUCAAUAUAAACAUUUUAAAUCCUUUAAAAAAUACACACAUUGAAGACUUUGCCAAUUGCAUGUACACAAAUGGAUUAAAACCUCUCAUAACGCAACCAACCAGAAUUAAUAAACACAGCUCAACACUGAUAGAUAACAUCUUCACAAACAUACAAAACACAGAUAUAAAGAGUGGUAUAUUAAUAAAUGACAUCUCUGAUCAUUUACCAAUAUUUAUGAUACUAAACGCAAAAGAGAAGAAGAACCGUGAAAAUCAUAACACACAGACAUACAGGAGACUGGAAGGAGAAAAACAACUAGAAAACUUUAAACAACAGAUAAAAAGACAGACGUGGGAGAGUGUUUUCAAGGAAGAAGACGUGAACGUAGCGUAUGACACAUUUACAGACACAAUAACGACAAUAUACGAUAAAUGCUGCCCUUUGAAACAAAUAACAACCAAAAGUAAAAUAAACAAUGUACCAUGGAUUAAUAAGAAAAUAGCCAACGUAUGCAAAAAGAAAAACAUAUUAUAUAAAAAAUAUAUAACAGAAAAAACAUUAAAAGCAGAAAUACGUUAUAAAAAAUACAGAAACAAAGUUAAUAAUUUACUAAGAGAAAAAAAAAGAGAAUAUUAUGAAAAACAAUUAAAAGAG